rnacentral:rRNA from 1 species
AUUGAACGCUGGCGGCAUGCCUUACACAUGCAAGUCGAACGGCAGCACGGGAGCUUGCUCCUGGUGGCGAGUGGCGAACGGGUGAGUAAUACAUCGGAACGUACCCUGAAGUGGGGGAUAACGUAGCGAAAGUUACGCUAAUACCGCAUAUUCUGUGAGCAGGAAAGAGGGGGAUCGCAAGACCUCUUGCUUUAGGAGCGGCCGAUGUCGGAUUAGCUAGUUGGUGAGGUAAAGGCUCACCAAGGCGACGAUCCGUAGCGGGUCUGAGAGGAUGAUCCGCCACACUGGGACUGAGACACGGCCCAGACUCCUACGGGAGGCAGCAGUGGGGAAUUUUGGGACAAUGGGCGCAAGCCUGAUCCAGCCAUGCCGCGUGAGUGAAGAAGGCCUUCGGAUUGUAAAGACUCUUUCGGUUGGGGAAGGAAAGUUAGCACAGGAUAAUACCUUGUGUAGAUGACGGUACCGCAUAAGAAGACACCGGCGUAACUAACGUGCCAGCAG